AGCGAACGCUGGCGGCAGGCCUAACACAUGCAAGUCGAACGAAGUCUUCGGACUUAGUGGCGGACGGGUGAGUAACACGUGGGAACGUGCCUUUAGGUUCGGAAUAACUCAGGGAAACUUGUGCUAAUACCGAAUGUGCCCUUCGGGGGAAAGAUUUAUCGCCUUUAGAGCGGCCCGCGUCUGACUAGCUAGUUGGUGAGGUAAAGGCUCACCAAGGCGAGGAUCAGUAGCUGGUCUGAGAGGAUGAUCUGCCACAUUGGGACUGAGACACGGCCCAACCUCCUACGGGAGGCAGCAGUGGGGAAUCUUGCGCAGUGGGCGAAAGCCUGACGCAGCCAUGCCGCGUGAAUGAUGAAGGUCUUAGGAUUGUAAAAUUCUUUCACCGGGGACGAUAAUGACGGUACCCGGAGAAGAAGCCCCGGCUAACUUCGUGCCAGCCGCCGCGGUAA
rnacentral:rRNA from 1 species